AUACAGGAUUUGGACAUAACUGGAGGGGCUGAGAAAUGAAUCCGCACUUAGAGAACUGACUGCUCCUUCAGAAGACAGAGGCUCCGUUCCUAGUACCCAUACAAGGCAGAUCACAGCUCCUUGAAACUCCAGUUCUAAGGGAUCUGAUGCCCUCUUUGGACCUCAACCAGCACUCAGAAAGCAGAGGCAGGAGGAUCUCUGGUAUGUCCCUCAGAAACUGUGGGAUCAGAUUCAAAGGGAUCUGAGGACGAUGAAGAAAGACACCAAGAAAACAACUGAUCGUUAGCAUCAAUAUUUCUAAAGGAAUCAAACUUCAGAGUCGCUUCCUACUGUCACUGUUACUGGAAGAGGUGAAACCGGCAAACUGGAAAUGAACAGCUGAGUCAAGUUGUCGGCACGUGUUAGAAGGGGUGAAUUAGUAAGCAGAAUCCUUCUGAGGUCUCUGCUUCACUCCCUGCCUCCGGGUUCCUGCUUUGAGCUUCUGCCCUAGGUUUUCUGGAUGACGGACUAUACUGUGUAUGAGAAAUAAACCCUUUUCUUUCCAGGUUACUUUCGAGAGGUGUUUGAUCACAGCAGCAUAAAAGCCAACUAGACAUUCAUCACUUUACAAUCACCUAAACAAGACUCGCAACGUUUUGAUUUUCUUUUUUAUGUGCAUUGGUGUUUUGCCUGCAGUGUUAGGGAGUUGAAAGGGUAGAAGAAAGGGAUGGAGAAGGGUGGAAGAAAGAAGAGCCUACAAAGAAGCAACACGGAACUAGAGGUAUAGACAGUUGUGAGCUGCUGUGUGGAUACUGGGAAUUGAACCAGGGUCCUCUGGAAGAGCAGCCAGUGCUCUUAACC